rnacentral:rRNA from 1 species
AGAGUUUGAUCCUGGCUCAGGAUGAACGCUGGCGGCGUGCUUAACACAUGCAAGUCGAACGGACAGGUAAUGAACCUAGUGAUUUAUCUGUUAGUGGCGGACGGGUGAGUAACGCGUGGGUAACCUGCCGUAUACAGGGGGAUAACACUUAGAAAUAGGUGCUAAAACCGCAUAAGCGCACAGGAUCGCAUGGCCUGGUGUGAAAAACUCCGGUGGUAUACGAUGGACCCGCGUCUGAUUAGCUUGUUGGCGGGGUAGAGGCCCACCAAGGCGACGAUCAGUAGCCGGCCUGAGAGGGUGAACGGCCACAUUGGGACUGAGACACGGCCCAAACUCCUACGGGAGGCAGCAGUGGGGAAUAUUGCACAAUGGGGGAAACCCUGAUGCAGCGACGCCGCGUGAGUGAAGAAGUAUUUCGGUAUGUAAAGCUCUAUCAGCAGGAAAGAAAAUGACGAUACCUGACUAAGAAGCCCCGGCUAACUACGUG